UUGGAUGACCAGCCUUGAUGCGAUCUUUAG
rnacentral:piRNA from 1 species